UACGUAGGGUGCGAGCGUUAAUCGGAAUUACUGGGCGUAAAGCGUGCGCAGGCGGUUUGUUAAGACAGAUGUGAAAUCCCCGGGCUUAACCUGGGAACUGCAUUUGUGACUGGCAAGCUAGAGUAUGGCAGAGGGGGGUAGAAUUCCACGUGUAGCAGUGAAAUGCGUAGAGAUGUGGAGGAAUACCGAUGGCGAAGGCAGCCCCCUGGGCCCAAUACUGACGCUCAUGC
rnacentral:rRNA from 1 species